AUUGAACGCUGGCGGCAGACCUAACACAUGCAAGUCGAACGGUAACAGGAAGCAGCUUGCUGCUUCGCUGACGAGUGGCGGACGGGUGAGUAAUGUCUGGGAAGCUGCCUGAUGGAGGGGGAUAACUACUGGAAACGGUAGCUAAUACCGCAUAAUGUCGCAAGACCAAAGAGGGGGACCUUCGGGCCUCUUGCCAUCGGAUGUGCCCAGAUGGGAUUAGCUUGUUGGUGGGGUAACGGCUCACCAAGGCGACGAUCCCUAGCUGGUCUGAGAGGAUGACCAGCCACACUGGGACUGAGACACGGUCCAGACUCCUACGGGAGGCAGCAGUGGGGAAUAUUGCACAAUGGGCGCAAGCCUGAUGCAGCCAUGCCGCGUGUAUGAAGAAGGCCUUCGGGUUGUAAAGUACUUUCAGCGGGGAGGAAGGGAGUAAAGUUAAUACCUUUGCUCAUUGACGUUACCCGCAGAAGAAGCACCGGCUAACUCCGUG
rnacentral:rRNA from 1 species